GAUGAACGCUGGCGGCGUGCCUAAUACAUGCAAGUCGAGCGAACAGACGAGGAGCUUGCUCCUCUGACGUUAGCGGCGGACGGGUGAGUAACACGUGGAUAACCUACCUAUAAGACUGGGAUAACUUCGGGAAACCGGAGCUAAUACCGGAUAAUAUAUUGAACCGCAUGGGUCAAUAGUGAAAGACGGUUUUGCUGUCACUUAUAGAUGGAUCCGCGCCGCAUUAGCUAGUUGGUAAGGUAACGGCUUACCAAGGCGACGAUGCGUAGCCGACCUGAGAGGGUGAUCGGCCACACUGGAACUGAGACACGGUCCAGACUCCUACGUGAGGCAGCAGUAGGGAAUCUUCCGCAAUGGGCGAAAGCCUGACGGAGCAACGCCGCGUGAGUGAUGAAGGUCUUCGGAUCGUAAAACUCUGUUAUUAGGGAAGAACAAAUGUGUAAGUAACUAUGCACGUCUUGACGGUACCUAAUCAGAAAGCCACGGCUAACUACGUG
rnacentral:rRNA from 1 species